GAUGAACGCUAGCGGAAUGCUUUACACAUGCAAGUCGAGCGGCAGCGCGGGGGCAACCCUGGCGGCGAGCGGCGAACGGGUGAGUAACAUAUCGGAACGUACCCCGUCGUGGGGGAUAACACAGCGAAAGCUGUGCUAAUACCGCAUACGACCUGAGGGUGAAAGCGGGGGAUCGCAAGACCUCGCGCGAUGGGAGCGGCCGAUAUCGGAUUAGCUUGUUGGUGAGGUAAAGGCUCACCAAGGCGACGAUCCGUAGCUGGUCUGAGAGGACGACCAGCCACACUGGGACUGAGACACGGUCCAGACUCCUACGGGAGGCAGCAGUAGGGAAUAUUGGACAAUGGGCGGAAGCCUGAUCCAGCCAUGCCGCGUGGAGGAUUAAGGCCCUCUGGGUUGUAAACUCCUUUUAUCUGGAAGAACCAUUCCGACUUGUCGGAACAUGACGGUACCAGAGGAAUAAGCACCGGCUAACUCCGUGCCAGCAGCCGCGGU
rnacentral:rRNA from 1 species